rnacentral:rRNA from 1 species
GAGNNUUGCACAAUGGGGGNAAACCCUGNUGCAGCGACGCCGCGUGAAGGAUGACGGUCUUCGGAUUGUAAACUUCUGUUAAGUGGGAAGAAAGAACUAUCUUUAAUAGGGAUAGGUGAUGACGGUACCACUAGAGAAAGCACCGGCUAAAUUUGUGCCAGCAGCCGCGGUAAUACAAGUGGUGCAAGCGUUAUUCGGAUUCAUUGGGCGUAAAGGGUACGUAGACGGCGUGCUAAGUUAGUUGUUAAAUCUCUCGGCCUAACCGAGAUCAAGCAAUUAAUACUGGCGUGCUAGAGGGUGAGAGAGAGGAGUGGAAUUCUCGGAGUAGCGGUAAAAUGCGUAGAUAUCGAGAGGAACACCGAUGGCGAAGGCAGCUCCUUGGCUCAUUCCUGACGUUGAGGUACGAAAGCGUGGGUAGCAAACAGGAUUAGAUACCCUGGUAGUCCACGCUGUAAACGAUGAUCACUAGACGUCUGUUUUGCUUAGCAAAAUAGGUGUCGCAGCUAACGCGUUAAGUGAUCCGCCUGGGGACUACGGUCGCAAGACUAAAACUCAAAAAAAUUGACGGA